rnacentral:rRNA from 1 species
UGCGGAGGGAUCAUUACCGAGUUUACAACUCCCAAACCCAAUGUGAACGUUACCAAACUGUUGCCUCGGCGGGAUCUCUGCCCCGGGUGCGUCGCAGCCCCGGACCAAGGCGCCCGCCGGAGGACCAACCAAAACUCUUUUUGUAUACCCCCUCGCGGGUUUUUUAUAAUCUGAGCCUUCUCGGCGCCUCUCGUAGGCGUUUCGAAAAUGAAUCAAAACUUUCAACAACGGAUCUCUUGGUUCUGGCAUCGAUGAAGAACGCAGCGAAAUGCGAUAAGUAAUGUGAAUUGCAGAAUUCAGUGAAUCAUCGAAUCUUUGAACGCACAUUGCGCCCGCCAGUAUUCUGGCGGGCAUGCCUGUCCGAGCGUCAUUUCAACCCUCGAACCCCUCCGGGGGGUCGGCGUUGGGGAUCGGCCCUGCCUCUUGGCGGUGGCCGUCUCCGAAAUACAGUGGCGGUCUCGCCGCAGCCUCUCCUGCGCAGUAGUUUGCACACUCGCAUCGGGAGCGCGGCGCGUCCACAGCCGUUAAACACCCAACUUCUGAAAUGUUGACCUCGGAUCAGGUAGGAAUACCCGCUGAACUUAAGCAUAU